rnacentral:rRNA from 1 species
AUUGAACGCUGGCGGCAUGCUUUACACAUGCAAGUCGAACGGUAACAGGGAGCUUGCUCCGCUGACGAGUGGCGAACGGGUGAGUAAUGCGUCGGAACGUGCCGAGUAGUGGGGGAUAACGCAUCGAAAGGUGUGCUAAUACCGCAUACGUACUGAGGUAGAAAGUGGAGGACCUUCGGGCCUCACGCUAUUCGAGCGGCCGACGUCUGAUUAGCUAGUUGGGGAGGUAAAGGCUCACCAAGGCGACGAUCAGUAGCGGGUCUGAGAGGAUGGUCCGCCACACUGGGACUGAGACACGGCCCGGACUCCUACGGGGGGCAGCAGUGGGGAAUUUUGGACAAUGGGCGCAAGCAUGAUCCAGCCAUGCCGCGUGUCUGAAGAAGGCCUUCGGGUUGUAAAGGACUUUUGUCCGGGAGCAAAUGCUGGUGGCUAACAUCCACCGGAGCUGAGAGUACCGGAAGAAUAAGCACCGGCUAACUACGUGCCAGCCGCCGCCGUAAGAC